rnacentral:lncRNA from 1 species
UGUUUUUUCUCCUACAAUGUUCGUCUUCAAAGUCGAAGCUUCCUAGUCGCCAUCACGUGUGGUUGACCGUUCGGCUAUCGCUGACACAUGCCUCGACGCUAGUUUGCGGUGAGGGCUUCAUGGUGGUCCUUGAUGGUCGAGUCAGAGCUGCUUGCUCGCGAGGAGUGAUGACGAUGCAUCAGAUGGCAACCUCGGCGGUGCUUCUCUUCUUGACAGCGUGUGUGCAUUUUUGUGUGGGCGUCCAGGUCGUUCAGAAUGCCUUGUUUCUACACUCGUGUUGUAACGUUUUUUGCCCUUUUUUUUUUUUGCAAAUUGACGAGGCAACUCUUUUCUUCUUUUUUCAAGAAAUCAAGAUCAUCAGAGGCCGAGUUUCGAAAAAAAAA